rnacentral:rRNA from 1 species
GAUGAACGCUGGCGGCGUGCCUAACACAUGCAAGUCGAACGGUGAAGGCGGAGCUUGCUCUGCUGGAUCAGUGGCGAACGGGUGAGUAACACGUGAGCAAUCUGCCCCUGACGCGGGGAUAAGCGCUGGAAACGGCGUCUAAUACUGGAUACGAGCUGCGGAGGCAUCUUCAGCAGCUGGAAAGAAUUUCGGUCAGGGAUGAGCGCGCGGCCUAUCAGCUUGUUGGUGAGGUAAUGGCCCACCAAGGCGUCGACGGGUAGCCGGCCUGGGAGGGUGAGCGGCCACGCUGGGCCUGAGACACGGCCCAGUCUCCUACGGUAGGCAACGGUGGAGAGUAUUACCCAAUGGGCGAGAGCCUGAUGCGACGACGCCGCGUGGGGGACAACGGCCUUCGGGUUGUAAACCUCUUUUCGCAGGGAAGAAGCGAAUGUGACGGUACCUGCAGAAAAAGCGCCGGCUAACUACGUG